rnacentral:rRNA from 1 species
GACGAACGCUGGCGGCGUGCUUAACACAUGCAAGUCGAACGGGCCUGUCUUCUUUUUUGGGGGUGGGUUGAGUGGCGAACGGGUGAGUAUCACGUGAGUGACCUGCCCUUCGGUCCUGGAUAACCGCUUGAAAGGGCGGCUAAUACGGGGUGGUCCGGUUGGUCCGCAUGGGCUGGUCGGGAUAGAUUCACUGUUUUUGGUGUUUCGGCGGGGGAUGGGCUCGCGGCCUAUCAGCUUGUUGGUGGGGUGAUGGCCUACCAAGGCGGUGACGGGUAGCCGGCCUGGGAGGGUGGGCGGCCACACUGGGACUGAGAUACGGCCCAGACUCCUGCGGGAGGCAGCAGUGGGGGGUAUUGCACAAUGGGCGGAAGCCUGAUGCAGCGACGUCGCGUGAGGGAUGGAGGCCUUCGGGUUGUGAACCUCUGUUUCCGGUGGUGAAGGCCCUGUCCGUGUGGUGGGGUUGACGGUAGCCGGGGAUGAAGCGCCGGCUAACUACGUG